rfam:Zea mays cultivar B73 chromosome 1, whole genome shotgun sequence.
GGGGAUAUGGCAAAAUCGGUAGACGCUACGGACUUGAUCGGACGAGGAUAAAGAGAGAGUCCCAUUCUACAUGUCAAUACUAAAAACAAUGAAAUUUCUAGUAAAAGGAAAAUCCGUCGACUUUAUAAGUCAUGAGGGUUCAAGUCCCUCUAUCCCCA